GACGAACGCUGGCGGCGCGCCUAACACAUGCAAGUCGAACGAGCGAGAGAGAGCUUACUUUCUCGAGCGAGUGGCGAACGGGUGAGUAACGCGUGAGGAACCUGCCUCAAAGAGGGGGACAACAGUUGGAAACGACUGCUAAUACCGCAUAAGCCCACGGCUCGGCAUCGAGCAGAGGGAAAAGGAGCAAUCCGCUUUGAGAUGGCCUCGCGUCCGAUUAGCUAGUUGGUGAGGUAACGGCCCACCAAGGCGACGACCGGUAGCCGGACUGAGAGGUUGAACGGCCACAUUGGGACUGAGACACGGCCCAGACUCCUACGGGAGGCAGCAGUGGGGAAUAUUGCACAAUGGGGGAAACCCUGAUGCAGCGACGCCGCGUGGAGGAAGAAGGUCUUCGGAUUGUAAACUCCUGUUGUUGAGGAAGAUAAUGACGGUACUCAACAAGGAAGUGACGGCUAACUACGUGCCAGCAGCCGCGGUAAAACGUAGGUCACAAGCGUUGUCCGGAAUUACUGGGUGUAAAGGGAGCGCAGGCGGGAAGACAAGUUGGAAGUGAAAUCCAUGGGCUCAACCCAUGAACUGCUUUCAAAACUGUUUUUCUUGAGUAGUGCAGAGGUAGGCGGAAUUCCCGGUGUAGCGGUGGAAUGCGUAGAUAUCGGGAGGAACACCAGUGGCGAAGGCGGCCUACUGGGCACCAACUGACGCUGAGGCUCGAAAGUGUGGGUAGCAAACAGGAUUAGAUACCCUGGUAGUCCACACUGUAAACGAUGAUUACUAGGUGUUGGAGGAUUGACCCCUUCAGUGCCGCAGUUAACACAAUAAGUAAUCCACCUGGGGAGUACGACCGCAAGGUUGAAACUCAAAGGAAUUGACGGGGGCCCGCACAAGCAGUGGAGUAUGUGGUUUAAUUCGACGCAACGCGAAGAACCUUACCAAGUCUUGACAUCCUGCGACGCACAUAGAAAUAUGUGUUUCCUUCGGGACGCAGAGACAGGUGGUGCAUGGUUGUCGUCAGCUCGUGUCGUGAGAUGUUGGGUUAAGUCCCGCAACGAGCGCAACCCUUAUGGUCAGUUACUACGCAAGAGGACUCUGGCCAGACUGCCGUUGACAAAACGGAGGAAGGUGGGGAUGACGUCAAAUCAUCAUGCCCUUUAUGACUUGGGCUACACACGUACUACAAUGGCGUUAAACAAAGAGAAGCAAGACCGCGAGGUGGAGCAAAACUCAGAAACAACGUCCCAGUUCGGACUGCAGGCUGCAACUCGCCUGCACGAAGUCGGAAUUGCUAGUAAUCGCAGAUCAGCAUGCUGCGGUGAAUACGUUCCCGGGCCU
rnacentral:rRNA from 1 species